rnacentral:rRNA from 1 species
AUUGAACGCUGGCGGCAGGCCUAACACAUGCAAGUCGAGCGGAUGAAGGGAGCUUGCUCCUGGAUUCAGCGGCGGACGGGUGAGUAAUGCCUAGGAAUCUGCCUGGUAGUGGGGGAUAACGUCCGGAAACGGGCGCUAAUACCGCAUACGUCCUGAGGGAGAAAGUGGGGGAUCUUCGGACCUCACGCUAUCAGACGAGCCUAGGUCGGAUUAGCUAGUUGGUGGGGUAAAGGCCUACCAAGGCGACGAUCCGUAACUGGUCUGAGAGGAUGAUCAGUCACACUGGAACUGAGACACGGUCCAGACUCCUACGGGAGGCAGCAGUGGGGAAUAUUGGACAAUGGGCGAAAGCCUGAUCCAGCCAUGCCGCGUGUGUGAAGAAGGUCUUCGGAUUGUAAAGCACUUUAAGUUGGGAGGAAGGGCAGUAAGUUAAUACCUUGCUGUUUUGACGUUACCAACAGAAUAAGC